rnacentral:misc_RNA from 1 species
UCCGGUUUGUCACCGGCAGUCUCCCUAGAGUGCCCUUGCGUAGCAACUAGGGACAAGGGUUGCGCUCGUUGCGGGACUUAACCCAACAUCUCACGACACGAGCUGACGACAGCCAUGCAGCACCUGUGUUCCGAUUCCCUUUCGGGCACACUCACCUCUCGGCAAGCUUCCGGACAUGUCAAGGGUAGGUAAGGUUGUUCGCGUUGCAUCGAAUUAAUCCACAUCAUCCACCGCUUGUGCGGGUCCCCGUCAAUUCCUUUGAGUUUUAACCUUGCGGCCGUACUCCCCAGGCGGAGUGCUUAAUGCGUUAACUUCGGCGCCGGAGGGGUCAAUACCCCCAACACCUAGUUGACAUCGUUUAGGGCGUGGACUAC